GACGUAGGGCGCGAGCGUUGUCCGGAUUCAUUGGGCGUAAAGGGUGCGUAGGCGGCGCGGUAAGUCGGGUGUGAAAUCUCGGAGCUUAACUCCGAAACUGCAUUCGAUACUGCCGUGCUUGAGGACUGGAGAGGAGACUGGAAUUUACGGUGUAGCGGUGAAAUGCGUAGAUAUCGUAAGGAAGACCAGUGGCGAAGGCGGGUCUCUGGACAGUUCCUGACACUGAGGCACGAAGGCCAGGGGAGCAAACGGG
rnacentral:rRNA from 1 species